GAUGAACGCUGGCGGCGUGCCUAAUACAUGCAAGUAGAACGCUGAAGGAGGAGCUUGCUCUUCUGGAUGAGUUGCGAACGGGUGAGUAACGCGUAGGUAACCUGCCUGGUAGCGGGGGAUAACUAUUGGAAACGAUAGCUAAUACCGCAUGACAACAGUUAUUGCAUGAUAACUGUUUAAAAGGGGCAACUGCUCCACUACCAGAUGGACCUGCGUUGUAUUAGCUAGUUGGUGAGGUAACGGCUCACCAAGGCGACGAUACAUAUCCGACCUGUGAGGGUGAUCGGCCAAAAUGGGAAUGAGAAAAGGCACAGAAUAAUACGGGAGGCAGCAGUAGGGAAACAUCGGAAAUGGACGGAAGUCUGACCGAGAAAAGACGAGUGAGUGAAGAAGGUUUUCGGAUCGUAAAGCUCUGUUGUAAGAGAAGAAAGAGAGUGAGAGUGGAAAGUUCACACUGUGACGGUAUCUUACAAGAAAGGGACGGCUAACUACGUG
rnacentral:rRNA from 1 species